GUAAAAGGCAGACUUCAGGGGUGGGAAGUCUCUGGCAAGGACGUGUACAUCUCACUGUGCUGUGCUGACCCACAGACUGUUGAGCACUGGCUGCCAGGGUGCUUUGACUGAAGUACAGUUGAUUUACAGUGUUAUGCUUUUCAGGUAGAUAGACAGAUAGAUGUGUAUAUAUGCAUGAAUGUAUUCUUUUUCAGAUUCUUUUCCACUACGGUUUACUACAAGAUACUGAGUACGGUUCCCUGCGCCAUUCAAUGUUGUCUCCUCAGCCUCAUGCCUGCCCAACACCCCAGUGUCUCGGGUUUGCCCUCUCUUGCCUGAGUCCACGUCCUCUCCAGAACCAACUACAUUUUUCUACACAAGGUCUUUCCCGUGCUCUCCACUCCCAGAGAGAACUUGCUUCUUCUGUAUGGACUCAUUUUUGCAAAGCAACAGAUUGCUAGUUCAGAUCCAGCAGCAAUAGACCAGAAAGUGGACAGAUGCCCAGAGACAGCGCCUCCUUCCUCUGAUUACAAGGUGGGGCCGCAUUCAAAUCAUGCCCCGCGUACUUUGCUAAAGUGGCAUGUUUUCCCUUGGAAAGAUAUAUGCAGAAGGCCUCAAGCAAGGAACAGAAAAACGUCCCUGCAAGUCCCCCAAGUGUAACUCUUCAAUGAUCAUAACAUCGAUAUUUGAACACUCUCUACCAGAUACCAGACAUCGAAAGUCUCACCCCCACCGCAGAUGCGAAAACUAAGGCUCAGAGACAUUAGUAAAUGGCUCAGUGGUGAGACAGCUUGAAUCUGAACCCAGGUCUGCUUGACUUAAAAGCUUGGCUUCCUGAUUUCUAUGUUCUUCCUCAUUCAGCUUGACUCUGAGACGGCUGACUCAUACCAAGCUGCACUGAGAGCCAGACAGCGUCCUAACAGGCAGAGCUGGGUCAUGCUUCUCUUGUCCUCCUCGUCUGCAUCCCAGACUCUCAGCCCUGGGGGAAGCGGAUUUCCUGCAGUUUUUCUUUCCACCCUGCCCGCACUCCCUUUAAGC
ensembl:lncRNA